rnacentral:rRNA from 1 species
UACGUAGGGGGCAAGCGUUGUCCGGAUUCAUUGGGCGUAAAGAGCGUGUAGGCGGCCUGGAAGGUCAGCUGUGAAAACUCGAGGCUCAACCUCGAGACGUCGGUUGAAACCACCUGGCUAGAGUCCGGAAGAGGAGUGUGGAAUUCCCGGUGUAGCGGUGGAAUGCGCAGAUAUCGGGAGGAACACCAGUGGCGAAGGCGGCGACCUGGACGGACACUGACGCUGAGACGCGAAAGCGUGGGGAGCAAACAGGG